UCCCUUCCCCUCUGAAUCAUCCAGUCAUUCGUCUUCUUUCUAACCGUCUUCGAGAAUUCAAUUCUAUGCAUGGCCAUAUUCACAGAUGCUCCCCACUCUCUCUAUCUUCAAUCUACAAAGUUCACUCCAAUUUGCCCAAACAAACACCCAAUCGUUCUUCUUUUGCCCAAAAACUUCACAUUUCCCAUGUCUUUUCUAAAUCUGUAAUAUGAAAUUGGUCUUGAAACGGUGGAGCACGUUGCGGAGAUUCAUCUUGUCGGCGGUUCCGGUGGUUUUUCUACGAAUCGCCUUCACAAUCAAGCAGGGCAAGCACAUGCGGUGCAGCGGCUCUUCUGGAGAUGGAAGCUCUGGCGGCCACAACUCACGCAGUGAGUAUGGGUCUUGUUCCUACUCUUACCGAGAAAAAUCUAUGCAGUUUCCCCCACCCAGCAGGAUUGAGAUAUAAGCAAUUAAGACUUGGCUUUCAAGAGAAGCAUAAGGCAGAAGAGGAAACCCACUUUCUUCCUCUAAUUUUUCUUUCGGCAGCAAGAGUUCCAAGGAAGAAGAAAAAUCAUCUAUUUUCUUUCUUCUUCAUUUUUGGCGCAACUUUGUCGUGGAUUUGCCGAAGCUCUUGGGUACUAUUUUUAUCAAAUAUUUUGAGGUCAGCUUGUAUUUAUUCCAGGCAUCUUUUGAAUAUUCUCGUACUACUUGUAUUCAUUUUUAUCAUAUUUGUGGUAGUUGAA